rnacentral:rRNA from 1 species
AAAUACUACCCAGUGACCGAUAGCGUAUAGUACUGUGAAGGAAAGGUGAAAAGCACCCCGGGAGGGGAGUGAAAAAGAACCUGAAACCCUGUGCCUACAAGCACCUAGAGCACGUCAAUGUGUGAUAGGGUACUUUUUGUAGAACGGUCCGGCGAGCGAUUGUAUGCAGCAAGGUUAAGGACUUAAGGUCUGGAGCCGAAGCGAAAGCGAGUUUGAAAAGGGCGUUAAGUUGCAUAUAAUGGGCCCGAAACCGGGUGACCUACCCAUGGUCAGGUUGAAGUGGAAGUAAAAUUCCAUGGAGGACCGAACCGACCUCCGUUGAAAAGGCGGCGGAUGAACUGUGGGUAGCGGAGAAAUUCCAAUCGAACCCGGAGAUAGCUGGUUCUCCCCGAAAUAGUUUUAGGACUAGCCUCAAGUUAGAUACCUGGAGGUAAAGCACUGAAUAGCCUAGCGGCCGAGAGGUUAGCGAAGCUUAUCAAACUCAGAAUGCCAGAGUAUUGAUGCUUGGGAGUCAGACAGUGUCAGAUAAAUGUCAUUGUCAAAAGGGAAACAGCCCAGAUCUACAGCUAAGGUCCCAAAGUCAGGUUAAGUGGAAAACGAUGUGAAGAUACGCAGACAACCAGGAUGUUGGCUCAGAAGCAGCCACUCAUUCAAAGAGUGCGUAAUAGCUCACUGGUCGAGCGUCUUUGCGCGGAGAAUUUAACGGGGCUAAACCUGACACCGAAGCUUAGGCAAUACAGCAAUGUAUUGGGUAGGGGAGCGUUGUAUACGCGGAGAAACAGUAGCGCAAGCGGCUGUGGAGUGUAUAGAAGUGAGAAUGCCGGAAUGAGUAGCGCGAAUGCAGUGAGAAUCUGCAUGGCCGAAAGCCUCAGGUUUCUGGAGGAAGGUUCGUCCGCUCCAGGUUAGUCGGGAGCUAAGGUGAGGCCUAACGGCGUAGCCGAUGCACAGACGGUAGAGAUUCCGUCACCACCAAAAGAGUUAAGCACAGGGACACAUAUGAAGUCUCAGAGCCGGGUGUUGGUUCCGGUAGAGAUCGAGGGAAAUUAGUACCGAAGUCUGAGAUGGAAGAUGGCGAGAAAAGCUGUGUGUAUUUCUGAGGUGCCCGUACCGCAAACCGACACAGGUAGGUAGGAAGAAGAUUCUAAGGCCAACGGGAGAAGGGUUGUUAAGGAACUCGGCAAAUUGACCCCGUAACUUCGGGAGAAGGGGUGCUCCAGAGAUGGAGCCGCAGAGAAUCGGCCCAAGCAACUGUUUACCAAAAACACAGGUUUGUGCUAAAUCGAAAGAUGACGUAUACGAGCUGACGCCUGCCCGGUGCUGGAAGGUUAAGAGGAGAUGUGCAAGCAUUGAAUCGAAGCCCCAGUGAACGGCGGCCGUAACUAUAACGGUCCUAAGGUAGCGAAAUUCCUUGUCAGGUAAGUUCUGACCCGCACGAAAGGCGUAAUGAUUUGGGCACUGUCUCAACAGCCCGCCCGGCGAAAUUGUAGUACCGGUGAAGAUGCCGGUUACCCGCGACAAGACGGAAAGACCCCAUGGAGCUUUACUGUAGCCUAAUAUUGGGUUUCGAUGUUGCAUGCACAGGAUAGAUGGGACUCUGGGAAACCAAGGCUUUGGCUUUGGCGGAGAGGCCGUUGGGAUACCAUCCUUGCGAUAUUGGAAUUCUAACCUGCGGCUCUGAAUCGAGUCGGGGGACAUUGUUAGGUGGGCAGUUUGACUGGGGCGGUCGCCUCCUAAAGAGUAACGGAGGCGUUCAAAGGUUCGCUCAGCUUGAACGGAAAUCAAGCAAAAGAGUGCAAACGCAGAAGCGAGCCUAACUGCGAGACUGACGGGUCGAGCAGUAACGAAAGUUGGAGUUAGUGAUCCGGUGGUAUGUGAGUGGAAAUGCCAUCGCUCAACGGAUAAAAGCUACCCUGGGGAUAACAGGCUGAUCUCCCCCAAGAGUCCACAUCGACGGGGAGGUUUGGCACCUCGAUGUCGGCUCAUCACAUCCUGGGGCUGUAGUAGGUCCCAAGGGUUGGGCUGUUCGCCCAUUAAAGUGGUACGCGAGCUGGGUUCAGAACGUCGUGAGACAGUUCGGUCCCUAU